CCUCCGCCCUGAGGUAAGAAAGAUAUUGAAACUGAAACAUCAAAAGUCAUUUUAUAAGACGACACUAAAAUUCCUAAUCACUGUUUCUUGAUCAUUCACAUAGAAUUGAUAAGGAAGACAGCUAAGCUAAGAAAGAUGAAGGGAAGUGAUAGUUUUGAAGGCUCCAAGUCAAGCUAUUCUGACAAGAAAGUUGGACAAGAUGAAGGUGAUGAGGAGGAGGUGGAUGGAAUUAGUUUUAAAUCAAAAAAUGAAGGACAGAGCACAAGCAACAGCUCAAUUGAAGAAAAUAAAAAGAAGGCAGCUGAUGGAUCCUUUCGGCAAUAUAUUCGUUCUAAGAUGCCAAGGCUCCGAUGGACGCCGGAUCUUCAUCUUUGCUUUGUUCAUGCUGUUGAAAGACUAGGAGGCCAAGACAGAGCAACACCAAAGCUUGUUCUUCAGAUGAUGAAUAUUAAAGACCUUAACAUUGCUCAUGUGAAAAGCCAUCUUCAGAUGUACAGAAGCAAGAGGAGUGAUGAUCCCGGUCAAGGCCAAGGGCUUUUAUUCGAAGGCGGGGAUAACCAUAUCUGCAACCUUAGGCAACUUGCCAUGCCACAAGAUUUCAAUCAAAGAUCUCCUUUCAAUUUAAGAUAUGGAGAUGCUUCUUGGAGAGGUCAUGACCACAUGAUGUGCAGAGCUUAUAUGGGAGGAACUGCACUCAAUAGAGUCAAACAUGGACUGUAUGGCUCAGUAAUUGGAUGUAACAAUCACAAUUCACUUAAUUAUGGUUCGAGUGUCCACAUUCCUUCUCUGAAUGGGAAAGCUACAGGUAGAACUCAUCAAUCUCUUGAAGCGGUCGAGUUGUUCCAAGUAUCCCGACAGAAUGAAAGUACACCCAGCUCAAUGGAGUCCGAUUUCAUAACCAAGUUGCAAGAGAGAUCAGGAAUGUUAGAUCAAGUGGAUUUUUUGAACACCUCUAGUUCCGCUGACAAAAAUUGGAGAACAAUUCAAGAAAUGCAAAAGGGUUUAAAGAGAAAGACUUUGGAUCCAGAUUGCAACUUGGAUUUGAACUUGUCACUGAAACUAGCAUCAAAAGAUGAUGAUGAACUUGAAAAGUUUGUGGAAGGUUGUGAAGUUGAUGGUAGUUUGUCUCUUUCGUUGUCUUCAUCUUCAUCCUCAAAGCUUGGCGGAUCGAUGGAAGGAGAUGGAAGUGGGAAGCAUGCAAGGAUGGCAAGUACUCUAGAUCUGACUUUAUGAAUGAGACAAUUCUGAGUGAGAUCUUGAGGUACUUACUUUUCCAGGAACAACAUGCUUAAAGAUACUUUCCUUACCUGCAUACAAGAUAUUCAUAAAUUCAGGAAUUGUUGAGUCUGAUGACAAUCUUAACAUUUCACAAGAUCAAGCUUGAGGCAAGAUGGUCUUCUAAUUAAGAAAUAACAUUGAAAUCUUAAUACGAAGGAGAAACAAUGUUUUGCCAUUCAAUGCUUUUCCUUGGCUUUUUCAGUAGCCUAAGUUUUCUUCAACA